AGACCCGAAACCCGGUGAUCUAGCCAUGGGCAGGUUGAAGGUUGGGUAACACUAACUGGAGGACCGAACCGACUAAUGUUGAAAAAUUAGCGGAUGACCUGUGGCUGGGGGUGAAAGGCCAAUCAAACCGGGAGAUAGCUGGUUCUCCCCGAAAGCUAUUUAGGUAGCGCCUCGUGAAUUCAUCUCCGGGGGUAGAGCACUGUUUCGGCUAGGGGGCCAUCCCGGCUUACCAACCCGAUGCAAACUGCGAAUACCGGAGAAUGUUAUCACGGGAGACACACGGCGGGUGCUAACGUCCGUCGUGAAGAGGGAAACAACCCAGACCGCCAGCUAAGGUCCCAAAGUCAUGGUUAAGUGGGAAACGAUGUGGGAAGGCCCAGACAGCCAGGAUGUUGGCUUAGAAGCAGCCAUCAUUUAAAGAAAGCGUAAUAGCUCACUGGUCGAGUCGGCCUGCGCGGAAGAUGUAACGGGGCUAAACCAUGCACCGAAGCUGCGGCAGCGACGCUGAUGCGUUGUUGGGUAGGGGAGCGUUCUGUAAGCCUGCGAAGGUGGCCUGUGAGGGUUGCUGGAGGUAUCAGAAGUGCGAAUGCUGACAUAAGUAACGAUAAAGCGGGUGAAAAGCCCGCUCGCCGGAAGACCAAGGGUUCCUGUCCAACGUUAAUCGGGGCAGGGUGAGUCGACCCCUAAGGCGAGGCCGAAAGGCGUAGUCGAUGGGAAACGGGUUAAUAUUCCCGUACUUGGUGUUACUGCGAAGGGGGGACGGAGAAGGCUAUGUUGGCCGGGCGACGGUUGUCCCGGUUUAAGCGUGUAGGUGUGUGUUCCAGGUAAAUCCGGUUCACUUUAACACUGAGGCGUGAUGACGAGGCACUACGGUGCUGAAGCAACAAAUGCCCUGCUUCCAGGAAAAGCCUCUAAGCAUCAGGUAACAUCAAAUCGUACCCCAAACCGACACAGGUGGUCAGGUAGAGAAUACCAAGGCGCUUGAGAGAACUCGGGUGAAGGAACUAGGCAAAAUGGUGCCGUAACUUCGGGAGAAGGCACGCUGACACGUAGGUGAAGUGAUUUACUCAUGGAGCUGAAGUCAGUCGAAGAUACCAGCUGGCUGCAACUGUUUAUUAAAAACACAGCACUGUGCAAACACGAAAGUGGACGUAUACGGUGUGACGCCUGCCCGGUGCCGGAAGGUUAAUUGAUGGGGUCAGCGCAAGCGAAGCUCCUGAUCGAAGCCCCGGUAAACGGCGGCCGUAACUAUAACGGUCCUAAGGUAGCGAAAUUCCUUGUCGGGUAAGUUCCGACCUGCACGAAUGGCGUAAUGAUGGCCAGGCUGUCUCCACCCGAGACUCAGUGAAAUUGAACUCGCUGUGAAGAUGCAGUGUACCCGCGGCAAGACGGAAAGACCCCGUGAACCUUUACUAUAGCUUGACACUGAACAUUGAGCCUUGAUGUGUAGGAUAGGUGGGAGGCUUUGAAGUGUGGACGCCAGUCUGCAUGGAGCCGACCUUGAAAUACCACCCUUUAAUGUUUGAUGUUCUAACGUGGACCCGUAAUCCGGGUUGCGGACAGUGUCUGGUGGGUAGUUUGACUGGGGCGGUCUCCUCCUAAAGAGUAACGGAGGAGCACGAAGGUUGGCUAAUCCUGGUCGGACAUCAGGAGGUUAGUGCAAUGGCAUAAGCCAGCUUGACUGCGAGCGUGACGGCGCGAGCAGGUGCGAAAGCAGGUCAUAGUGAUCCGGUGGUUCUGAAUGGAAGGGCCAUCGCUCAACGGAUAAAAGGUACUCCGGGGAUAACAGGCUGAUACCGCCCAAGAGUUCAUAUCGACGGCGGUGUUUGGCACCUCGAUGUCGGCUCAUCACAUCCUGGGGCUGAAGUAGGUCCCAAGGGUAUGGCUGUUCGCCAUUUAAAGUGGUACGCGAGCUGGGUUUAGAACGUCGUGAGACAGUUCGGUCCCUAUCUGCCGUGGGCGCUGGAGAACUGAGGGGGGCUGCUCCUAGUACGAGAGGACCGGAGUGGACGCAUCACUGGUGUUCGGGUUGUCAUGCCAAUGGCACUGCCCGGUAGCUAAAUGCGGAAGAGAUAAGUGCUGAAAGCAUCUAAGCACGAAACUUGCCCCGA
rnacentral:rRNA from 2 species